CGUACACUCCUCGGGAGGCAGCAGUGGGGAAUUUUGGACAAUGGGCGAAAGCCUGAUCCAGCAAUGCCGCGUGAGUGAAGAAGGCCUUCGGGUUGUAAAGCUCUUUUGUCAGGGAAGAAACGGUGAAAGCUAAUAUCUUUUGCUAAUGACGGUACCUGAAGAAUAAGCACCGGCUAACUACGUGCCAGCAGCCGCGGUAAUACGUAGGGUGCAAGCGUUAAUCGGAAUUACUGGGCGUAAAGCGUGCGCAGGCGGUUUUGUAAGUCUGAUGUGAAAUCCCCGGGCUCAACCUGGGAAUUGCAUUGGAGACUGCAAGGCUAGAAUCUGGCAGAGGGGGGUAGAAUUCCACGUGUAGCAGUGAAAUGCGUAGAUAUGUGGAGGAACACCGAUGGCGAAGGCAGCCCCCUGGGUCAAGAUUGACGCUCAUGCACGAAAGCGUGGGGAGCAAACAGGAUUAGAUACCCGUGUAGUCCCAUGA
rnacentral:rRNA from 1 species